rnacentral:lncRNA from 1 species
AGCAACACAGUGUGACAGUUUGUCCAGUGUCUCCAUGGUUUUCAGCAUUAUGACAUUACAUGUAAUCUAGAGACGACUCAACAGACACAGGAGGAGGCCCCACAGACUCCAUAUAGACUCCAGGAAAAUGUAUAGAAGGAACUUGAGCAUCUAGGCGGAGGCUGAAGUGGAAAGAUUGAGCACUUGAGACCAGACUAGACAACAUGUUCUCAGGCAAACGCUAUUCCGUGCCACACUAUCGCAGGUGAAUCACAGGUACCGGCGGCUGAGGGAACAGCCUCUAAACUUGGAGUACUCUAGCUCUGAAGUUGCUAAUUCAGUUUAACCAUGAAACACUGUUCCAUUAACUGUGAUAAGUAGCAAACAUUUGGCCUUCAGCUUCACCAAGCCUUGACCCAUGGUCCCUUGUGAGUCCUGAGGCACACCCUGAACUGUCCUCACUAUGUGUUGGAAGUUGCUGUUCAAAAAGAGAUCCUUGGAACAGCAUCAGUGAGACUGCUCAGAAACACAGAACAUGGCUAACACAGCCAGCAACUUGGUUCUUGGACUGGAAUAAAGAUGUGAUCAUCUAGCUUCCUGCUCUUCCUGCCUUCUGCCUCACCAUGAUGAAUUUCCCCUCUGGAACCGUAAACAAAAAUAAAGUCUUUCUUCCCAAAGUUGGGCAUGAAAGAUGCAAGAAUGGCAGGGAUGUGGAGGCUCCCAUCAAGGCGGGAGGAGGCCAGGUCAUGUGUAUCAUGUUUGAGUUCUCUGCAAGGAGGCCCUGAGGACAUGAGCAACAUGAAGAUGUCACCGACACCAAGGCUUCAGAGUCAUGAGGACGGCAAGACCUUGUCUGAUAUGAGUAUAGAUGUUGGCAAUGUGUACAGAGAACAUCAAUCACAGCUUUCUCCUCCAGGAUGGCUGCAGCCUGAGACUGUUCCCUACCGAGAGCCACCCGCUUCCUCAUUCAGCUGAGGCCAUGUCAGCCCUGCUAUGAUGGACAAUAGAGAACCAAAUA